rnacentral:rRNA from 1 species
UGCAGAGAACUUUCCAGAGAUGGAUUGGUGCCUUCGGGAACUCUGACACAGGUGCUGCAUGGCUGUCGUUAGCUCGUGUCGUGAGAUGUUGGGUUAAGUCCGUAACGAGCGCAACCCUUGUCCUUAGUUACCAGCACGUUAUGGUGGGCACUCUAAGGAGACUGCCGGUGACAAACCGGAGGAAGGUGGGGAUGACGUCAAGUCAUCAUGGCCCUUACGGCCUGGGCUACACACGUGCUACAAUGGUCGGUACAAAGGGUUGCCAAGCCGCGAGGUGGAGCUAAUCCCAUAAAACCGAUCGUAGUCCGGAUCGCAGUCUGCAACUCGACUGCGUGAAGUCGGAAUCGCUAGUAAUCGUGAAUCAGAAUGUCACGGUGAAUACGUUCCCGGGCCUU